rnacentral:rRNA from 1 species
AUUGAACGCUGGCGGCAUGCCUUACACAUGCAAGUCGAACGGCAGCACGGGACUCGGGCAACUGAGUCCUGGUGGCGAGUGGCGAACGGGUGAGUAAUGCAUCGGAACGUGCCCAGUAGUGGGGGAUAACUAGUCGAAAGAUUAGCUAAUACCGCAUACGACCUAUGGGUGAAAGCGGGGGAUUUUCGGGCAACCGAGAACCUCGCGCUAUCGGAGCGGCCGAUGUCGAUUAGCUAGUUGGCGGGGUAAAAGCCCACCAAGGCUUCGAUCAGUAGCUGGUCUGAGAGGACGACCAGCCACACUGGGACUGAGACACGGCCCAGACUCCUACGGGA